AGCGAAGUGGAGCAGUUAGGAGUGCUCGUCGGGCUCAUAACCCGAAGGUCGAUGGUUCAAAUCCAUCCUUCGCUA
rnacentral:tRNA from 1 species